rnacentral:rRNA from 1 species
GACGAACGCUGGCGGCGUGCUUAACACAUGCAAGUCGAACGGAAAGGCCCUGCUUUUGUGGGGUGCUCGAGUGGCGAACGGGUGAGUAACACGUGAGUAACCUGCCCUUGACUUUGGGAUAACUUCAGGAAACUGGGGCUAAUACCGGAUAGGAGCUCCUGCUGCAUGGUGGGGGUUGGAAAGUUUCGGCGGUUGGGGAUGGACUCGCGGCUUAUCAGCUUGUUGGUGGGGUAGUGGCUUACCAAGGCUUUGACGGGUAGCCGGCCUGAGAGGGUGACCGGCCACAUGGGGACUGAGAUACGGCCCAGACUCCUACGGGAGGCAGCAGUGGGGAAUAUUGCACAAUGGGCGGAAGCCUGAUGCAGCCACGCCGCGUGGGGGAUGAGGGCCUUCGGGUUGUAAACCGCUUUCGCCUGUGACGAAGCGUGAGUGACGGUAAUGGGUAAAGAAGCACCGGCUAACUACGUG